rnacentral:rRNA from 1 species
UGUCGUCAGCUCGUGUCGUGAGAUGUUGGGUUAAGUCCCGCAACGAGCGCAACCCUUAUUGUUAGUUGCCAUCAUUCAGUUGGGCACUCUAGCAAGACUGCCGGUGACAAACCGGAGGAAGGUGGGGAUGACGUCAAAUCAUCAUGCCCCUUAUGACCUGGGCUACACACGUGCUACAAUGGGAAGUACAACGAGUUGCGAAGUCGCGAGGCUAAGCUAAUCUCUUAAAGCUUCUCUCAGUUCGGAUUGCAGGCUGCAACUCGCCUGCAUGAAGCCGGAAUCGCUAGUAAUCGCGGAUCAGCACGCCGCGGUGAAUACGUUCCCGGGCCUUGUACACACCGCCCGUCACACCACGAGAGUUUGUAACACCCGAAGUCGGUGAGGUAACCUUUUUGGAGCCAGCCGCCUAAGGUGGGAUAGAUGAUUGGGGUGAAGUCGUAACAAGGUAGCCGUAUCGGAAGGUGCGGCUGGAUCACCUCCUUUCUAAGGAA